rnacentral:lncRNA from 1 species
UCAACUACAACAGAUGGCAGCGCCUAUUUGAUAAUUUAUAACAAAUGGGUAAUCUAUUGCAACAGGUUGAACAUUUGUUUUUGUACAAUUUCAAUUGAGUUCAUAUGUUCAACUAAUGCCUUAAUUAAUUAAUCUAGGACUAGGGGUGAGUUCUCAUAGGGUCAACUACAUCUUCAAUUGAGUCUUUUGGCAAUCGCAUAAUAAGAGGGUUAAAAAUUACGCAUAUCUUUUAUAAUUUUAAAAAUAAUUAAGAUCAAUUCGGACCAAAUUAACAUUUUCAAAACUUGUCAUUCUAUUCCAAAAUACAAAUCAACAGAG